UUGACCUCGGAUCAGGUAGGAUUACCCGCUGAACUUAAGCAUAUCAAUAAGCGGAGGAAAAGAAACCAACAGGGAUUGCCCCAGUAACGGCGAGUGAAGCGGCAACAGCUCAGAUUUGGAAUCUGGCCUUCGGGCCCGAGUUGUAAUCUGGAGAGGAUGCUUCUGGCGCGGUGCCUUCCGAGUUCCCUGGAACGGGACGCCGGAGAGGGUGAGAGCCCCGUACGGUUGGACACCUAGCCUCUGUGAAGCUCCUUCGACGAGUCGAGUAGUUUGGGAAUGCUGCUCAAAAUGGGAGGUAAAUUUCUUCUAAAGCUAAAUAUUGGCCAGAGACCGAUAGCGCACAAGUAGAGUGAUCGAAAGAUGAAAAGCACUUUGAAAAGAGAGUUAAAAAGUACGUGAAAUUGUUGAAAGGGAAG
rnacentral:rRNA from 3 species